rnacentral:lncRNA from 1 species
GCAACACACUCAUACCAUGAAUCAGCCUUAGGAGUCAUAGAUAUUAAUAUGUCCUUGUAGUUUACAUGAAUGGCGACAUAAAAGACAAUUUUUCAAAAGCAGCACACGCAACAUAAAAGCGAAGGUAUAAUAGGAGCAUUUUCAUCUCUUGUUGUGAAAAGGAUGUCCUGCCUAAAGAUAGAAAUGGACAAGUAUCAUAUAUUAUUGACACCACUUAUGUUGCUUAGAAAACAGAACAUAGAGAAAGAAAAUGGGGGAUAAAAUCGCUUCCACCAAUUCCAAGCUAAGAUAAACCUGAAUGGACAAGCACAUAUAUUAAGAAAGGAUAUAAUGUAAAGUAUAGAAUCACGUUGUAAGCCAAUUCCCAUAAGGCUAUGAUGGGAAGGAGGUCGGGAGGACGGCGCCGCAUGACAAGCCCUAUCCAUGCCGAACGACCUCAUGAUAUACAGCCUCCGUCGCUCACUAUUCAAUGCCCAUCGAAAAAUCAGGAUUGUAGUAGACAUGUCUUAGGUAAGAUACAUAUGUGUAAAUGUAAAGUUUUACUAAUCAAGCAUGCACUUAAUGAAAGUACCUAUUAUACAUAAAAGGAAAGUAACUGAGAUAGAUGCUGGGUUUUUUUCUUAGAAGGAAGUUGGUCAUCAAAUAGGCAUAGAUAAUCAAAUUUGGAAUAUCUCCAGGAACAUCUAAUUUUUGAAACUCAUGGCAAUAUGUAGUACACGUGUGUUAGGUCAGACAGAAGGUAUGCACAAAUGUAGAGAUUUAGUAAUGAAGCAUCCAGUGAACAAAAGAAACAAUUAUACAUGAAAAGAAACUAUGUGGGAUAUGCAUGUUUCAGUGUCACGUAACUUAUGUUACAGAACAAAACCAAGCUAGUAAGCAAUCCAUUGUGAAAUCUUCAUGUGGUAAAGAACAUUUGUAGAUUAACAUGAAAUAAAUAUUAUUGUCUGAGCACAGGCAAUCAUGCUGAUACAUUUAGUGAUUUAUUUAAGUAGUAAUAAUCAGUCUAUAUUGAUGUUCAAUUAGUGGGUAAGAGGUAUUGAGUAGAAUCGAUUUGUUUAACGCAUGACAUGAAUGAAUUAUGCAGCUACCUGGGGGCUUAAGCCAUUGCAUUGACAGAGGCAAUAGGUAGAAACAGAGAAAUAGUUGAAUUUUAAGUAACAAAUUUAGAGGCGUUGAGAGCAGAGAAGGAGACAGUCACCUUGUCAGAUCCAUGAGGAUGAAUUGAGGGAAAGGGGACAGGAGCAGCACGCGGUAGAUCCACUUUCAGGCUAGCUACCUCGUCACAGAUACUUCUAGAUAUGCAUUGUAAUAGUCAGACCACACAACAUGUAAUACUAAUGGCCUAAUGCCAUAGCCUGCAGCAGUCCAAAAUUGAACACAUUGGUAUAUAAUGGAUGGUAUUUGUGCAAAUCUAGAACAAUAAUUUACCUUUCACAACAAACAAAUCUCAAGAGCGUAUUAUUUCUUUAUUUCUCAAUAAUUCACAAUAAAUGAUCAAGCAUCUAUAUGCAUGUACCAAAGCAUUUACCUUUGUAAGAGCUUUCCAACUUUGCCUUCUGAGUUGUACCGGCUCUUCCAUGGUUAAAACUCCAUACCACCUUCGCCGCCACCAACGAUGACCGAUCCCAAUCAUUGAGCCGAGCCCGGAGGACGACAAAGGGACCGCCAUCUCCCUAAAGCGACGGGUUGCCCUAAGAUGGUUGAGACCAAGUCGAUGGCACACGCUAGUGAAACCUAGCCCAUCUUAAAACUUUGAACCUAGCCCGUCUUCAAACCUAGCAGAAGACCAAAGCAACAAAUUUAGAAUGAGGGACUGGUUAAUUGUAUUUUUUAAACUUCACGCGGAGAACUGAAUAUUUCUUCUUCUGUGUGGAAACGUAAACCAAAGCACAUAAACGCAUGAUAUAAAAUCAAGAAGAUCUGCAUUAAAACUUCUAUAAUGCAUAGUCUCUUGACAUGUAUAAUUAGUAUUUAAAAAAUGACAAUGUAAAGCAAAGAAAUUGGCAGCAAGAGAAAGAGCUAGCUAUCAAAUAGUUAGAUGCAGACCAGGUUAUCGGUUAGACACAGACCAGGUUAUCAGUUAGACAAAGAACAGAAAAUAGAACAAAGGAUCAUAAAGCAAUCCUUCGUGGUGAGAUACCCCUUAAUUUUUCUCGAAUUUGGAAUGAACUUCUUUACACACAACAACUGAGUAUAUUUGCAUGUAAUGUUGUACCAAGGAUGGACAAGUGAUGAACAUGAACUGAAUCACAAAAUUCGUAUAAUUUGCAUUGUUUGCUUUCUAGGACAAAGCAGAAUCACGAGCAACUAAAAUACAGUCAAGUAAGUCGAAAGCACUUAAUAAGAGGUCUGACAUCGGGCAUAUGCCAUGGAAAUAUAGUAGUAAGUGAAAAUGGACAUUUUUGUUGAUUCCUAUCUUUUACAUCCUGUAAGAAAGAGCAUGGAAUCUCAGUGGUGUGCGGCUAACACAGAAUAUUUACCAGAGUAUGCCACUGUCAGACAAUAACCAGCUCAGACAUGUAG